rnacentral:rRNA from 1 species
AGAGUUUGAUCCUGGCUCAGAUUGAACGCUGGCGGAAUGCUUUACACAUGCAAGUCGAACGGCAGCACGGGGGCAACCCUGGUGGCGAGUGGCGAACGGGUGAGUAAUACAUCGGAACGUGCCCAGUCGUGGGGGAUAACGCAGCGAAAGCUGUGCUAAUACCGCAUACGAUCUAUGGAUGAAAGCGGGGGACCGCAAGGCCUCGCGCGAUUGGAGCGGCCGAUGGCAGAUUAGGUAGUUGGUGGGGUAAAGGCUCACCAAGCCGACGAUCUGUAGCUGGUCUGAGAGGACGACCAGCCACACUGGGACUGAGACACGGCCCAGACUCCUACGGGAGGCAGCAGUGGGGAAUUUUGGACAAUGGGCGCAAGCCUGAUCCAGCCAUUCCGCGUGCAGGAUGAAGGCCCUCGGGUUGUAAACUGCUUUUGUACGGAACGAAAAGGCUUUCUCUAAUACAGGGGGCUGAUGACGGUACCGUAAGAAUAAGCACCGGCUAACUACGUGCCAGCAGCCGCGGUAAUACGUAGGGUGCGAGCGUUAAUCGGAAUUACUGGGCGUAAAGCGUGCGCAGGCGGUGAUGUAAGACAGAUGUGAAAUCCCCGGGCUCAACCUGGGAACUGCAUUUGUGACUGCAUCGCUGGAGUGCGGCAGAGGGGGAUGGAAUUCCGCGUGUAGCAGUGAAAUGCGUAGAUAUGCGGAGGAACACCGAUGGCGAAGGCAAUCCCCUGGGCCUGCACUGACGCUCAUGCACGAAAGCGUGGGGAGCAAACAGGAUUAGAUACCCCCGUAGUCC